CACGUAGGGGGCGAGCGUUGUCCGGAUUUAUUGGGCGUAAAGAGCUCGUAGGCGGUUCGGCAAGUCGGGUGUGAAAUUUCGAGGCUCAACCUCGAAACGCCACUCGAUACUGCUGUGACUGGAGUCCGGUAGAGGAGUGCGGAAUUCCUGGUGUAGCGGUGAAAUGCGUAGAUAUCGAGAGGAACACCUGCGGCGAAGGCGGGUUGCUGGGCUGAUACUGACGCUGAGGCGCGAAAGCCAGGGGAGCGAACGGG
rnacentral:rRNA from 1 species